GCCGCGAAUUCGCCCUUAGAGUUUGAUCCUGGCUCAGGAUGAACGCUAGCGGCAGGCUUAACACAUGCAAGUCGAGGGGUAACAGGGAGGCUUGCUUCCGCUGACGACCGGCGCACGGGUGAGUAACGCGUAUGUAAUCUACCUCUAACAGGGGGAUAGCUUCGAGAAAUCGGAAUUAAUACCCCAUAAUAUUAUGAUAUCACAUGGUAUAAUAAUUAAAGCUUCGGCGGUUAGAGAUGAGCAUGCGUGCCAUUAGUUAGUUGGUGAGGUAAUGGCUCACCAAGACAGCGAUGGCUAGGGGGUCUAAAAGGAUGAUCCCCCACACUGGUACUGAGACACGGACCAGACUCCUACGGGAGGCAGCAGUGAGGAAUAUUGGUCAAUGGGCGCAAGCCUGAACCAGCCAUGCCGCGUGCAGGAUGACUGCCCUAUGGGUUGUAAACUGCUUUUAUACAGGAAGAAAAUAUUCUACGUGUAGAGUACUGACGGUACUGUAAGAAUAAGGAUCGGCUAACUCCGUGCCAGCAGCCGCGGUAAUACGGAGGAUCCAAGCGUUAUCCGGAUUUAUUAGGUUUAAAGGGUGCGUAGGCGGGGCAAUAAGUCAGUGGUGAAAUCCUGCAGCUUAACUGUAGAACUGCCAUUGAUACUGUUGUUCUUGAGUAUAGUUGAGGUGGGCGGAAUGUGUCGUGUAGCGGUGAAAUGCUUAGAUAUGACACAGAACACCGAUUGCGUAGGCAGCUCACUAAACUAUAACUGACGCUGAGGCACGAAAGCGUGGGGAGCGAACAGGAUUAGAUACC
rnacentral:rRNA from 1 species